AAUAAAGCACAUAGUGCUCAAAUUUUACUUAACAACUGUUCUCAUUGUUUUUUUUGACUUGAUAAUAAUAUCUGUCAUUAACUGGGGGCUCAACAGGGAAAUGAACCCUGGGCCUCUCGCAUUUUUCAAGCUCACAUCCACCUUGGACCGGAACGUGGAUAAGCAACAUAUUUUGCUUGGUGAACAAAUGUACAAAAUCCGAAAAUGUGCGAAAUGUUUCGUUCUCUAAUACACAAUAAAUGUAACAUAACGCGGACACGCACGAAAACAACAAGCAGCUCUUGUGAUUAAAAUUUUUUUUUUUUUUGAAAGUAAACUCGAAAUUGACUUACUAUUGAUGUAUGUAUCGUAUGCAUCCUGCAGAAAAUGUGGCGUUGAUGGCUUUUAGGAAUUUCCAUGAUGCAACCCAUUGAAUCGUGAGACCGUUCGUGAGGCAGACACACAAACCAAGUAGACUGAUUGAAAAUCAAAACACUACUAAACCAAAGAAUCAGUCAGCAUUGCAUGAAAAACGAAAACUAUUCUAAUCACACACGCAUUUAAAGAUUUCAAAAUUUAUUUUCUACAGAUUUUGUUGAUAUGACAACAUUCCAAAAUGAAACCUGUUCCAUUCCCAUGUUUGUGAACUGAGGAAGGUUCAUUUUAAUCACGGGCAUUGGGCAGCGGUUAUAACAAAUCAUAAUUGAUCGACAAUAUUCAAGAAUAAACAUUUGAAUGCAAUUUAUUCUACCGAAGACACAUUUAAUUCAAUUGAAGAACACAUAUCUAAUACAUUUUAACACAUACUAUCAGAUCUAAAUUGUCACAUUCAGUAUGAUCAUAUGGAACGACCGGGGACGAUCGAUUUUAAAGUAUGGGGAGAGUUAAUAUCGAUAAGAAUAACGAUAUUAUCUUGAAACUAAUGUAACAAUUGUAUUGUUAUAUUGCAUAAUAAAUUGAAAUAGUUAAUUAGGCACAGUCAUAGCUGAUUAUUAUAAUUGAUUCAAACCAUGGUCAAGUUUAAUUGGAAAAGCGAAUCAAAUUGAAAAGAACAAAAUCAAUUACCAUAUUUGUACAUUUGAAAUAACAAACACCUUAUCAAAAUUUAUAAUAUAAAUAACUUUAGAAUGCAUUGUAAAACAGUUCAGUUUGUGGAGUGAUGAAUAAAGC